rnacentral:rRNA from 1 species
UACGUAGGGUGCAAGCGUUAAUCGGAAUUACUGGGCGUAAAGCGUGCGCAGGCGGUUAUGUAAGACAGUUGUGAAAUCCCCGGGCUCAACCUGGGAACUGCAUCUGUGACUGCAUAGCUAGAGUACGGUAGAGGGGGAUGGAAUUCCGCGUGUAGCAGUGAAAUGCGUAGAUAUGCGGAGGAACACCGAUGGCGAAGGCAACCCCCUGGACCUGUACUGACGCUCAUGCACGAAAGCGUGGGGAGCAAACAGG